GCCACCGUAGCUCAGUUGGUAGAGCAACGGUUUCGUAAACCGUAGGUCGUUGGUU
rnacentral:tRNA from 1 species